rnacentral:rRNA from 1 species
GCGUUAUCCGGAAUUACUGGGCGUAAAGAGUUGCGUAGGUGGCAAAGUAAGCGAAUAGUGAAAUGAUAUGGCUCAACCAUAUGUCCAUUAUUUGAACUGCUUAGCUUGAGAAUGAGAGAGGUAGAUGGAAUUGUUAGUGUAGGAGUGAAAUCCGUAGAUAUUAGCAGGAACACCGAUGGCGUAGGCAGUCUACUGGCUCAUUUCUGACACUAAGGCACGAAAGCGUGGGGAGCGAACGGGAUUAGAUACCCCGGUAGUCCACGCUGUAAACGAUGGAUGCUAGCUGUUAGAAGUAUCGACCCUUCUAGUAGCGAAGCUAACGCGUUAAGCAUCCCGCCUGGGAGUACGGUCGCAAGAUUAAAACUCAAAGGAAUUGACG